CCAUUAGGUACGUUAAUUAAUCACGUGAUGUGGAGGGCAAGAGUUGGAUUAAUCUCAAGUGAAGAUGAUGAAUGAACCUGAAGCUUGGAUGAUCUGAUCAAGUACCAGGAUCGGAUGAGAGAUGCUCCCCACGCGGACGUCAUCUAACAACACUGACUUAGUGUUAUCCCAGGCAAGCCCCGGUGCAUUUGCCACCUCCUUGUUGUUUUAAAACUUUUAUCACUUAUAUGCUGCAUUAGGUGAUAGGAGUUGAGUGAUGAAACAGUUGAUGCAUUGCCAUUCCUUGGAAUUUGAUUAUCCUCCUUGAUACCUGUUUUACAAAAAGAACUAAUGAGGCAUAGCCUUGCCUAGAGAAUUAAAACAUGUUUCUUUUUAAAAGAAUGAUGUGUGACACUGGGUAUGGGUUUGUUUUAUGAAAAAGGACUUGUAAUGGUGAGCGCAUCAUUGAAAGGGAAAUGUGCCCUUGGGCCAUUUCUAAGUAUUUUGGUGAUUUAGUGUCCAACACAAGUGCCUAAGUGGAAAAAGGUGGACAAAGUACAAAUCAAGGAUAAAGGUAUGUUUCUCAGACUUAGUACAUUGUUUUAUGGACUAAUGUAUUGUGUCUAAGUGCUGGAAAUAGGAAAAAUCCAAUUGAAAAUGUCUUGGCUCGAGCAGCCAAGACUCUGCUCAGUCUGGGUGCACCGGACAGUGUCUGGUGCGCCAGGCUAGCUCGAGCGAACUGGCCGCUCUCGGGAAUUCACCGGCGACGUACGACUAUAAUUCACCGGACUGUCCGGUGUGCACCGGACUGUCCGGUGAGCCAACGGUCGGCCGGGGCAACGGUCGGCCGCGCGAUCUGCGCGGGACACGUGGCCGAGCCAACGGCUAGAAGGAGGCACCGGACUGUCCGGUGUGCACCGGACAUGUCCGGUGCGCCAACGGCUCUCAGGCUGCCAACGGUCGACUGCGCCAUUUUUGGAAGGAAAUCGGGCACCGGACUGUCCGGUGCGCCAGUCGACAGAAGGCAAGAUCAGCCUUCCUAGAAUGCUCUCAACGGCUCCUAGCUGCCUUGGGGCUAUAAAAGGGACCCCUAGGCGCAUGGAGGAGUAUCUCAAGCAUCCCCUAAGCACUCCUAAGCACUAAGACAUCGAUUUCGCGCCUUUGAUUCUUUGCGAUAGCAAUUAGAGCUCUAGUUGAGUGGUGAACUCAUUGAGUUGUGUUGUGAGCUCUCGUUGCAACUUGUGUGCGUGGUGUUGCUGUGAUUUCUUGUCUUGAGUGCGUUGCUAAUCCCUCCCUUGUUCUGUGCUUCUUUGUGAACUUCAAGUGUAAGGGCGAGAGGCUCCAAGUUGUGGAGAUUCCUCGCAAACGGGAUUGAGAAAAGCAAGCAAAACACCAUGGUAUUCAAGUGAGUCUUUGGACCGCUUGAGAGGGGUUGAUUGCAACCCUCGUCCGUUGGGACGCCACAACGUGGAGUAGGCAAGCAUUGGUCUUGGCCGAACCACGGGAUAACCACCGUGCCAUCUCUGUGAUUGAUUUCUUGUGGUUAUUGUGUUUUGUUGAGACUCCUCUCUAGCCACUUGGCAUUUACUGUGCUAACGCUUAACCAAGUUUGUGUGGCUUAAGUUUUCAAGUUUUACAGGAUCACCUAUUCACCCCCCCUCUAGGUGCUCUCAAUUGGUAUCGGAGCCGUUCUCUUCACAAAGGGACUAACCGCCCGAAGAGAUGGAUCCUAAGGGGAAGGGUAUCGUGAUCAACGAUAAAGAGAAGGAAUCUUUCGUCAACGAGCCGAAGGAUGACAAGCCUACCGACUCGGGCUCGGGCCAUAGAUGGAAAGAUGGGAAGAAGAAGAAGACAAGGCGCAUCAAGGAGAUUGUCUACUACGACGACAGCGACGAGUCAUCUUCUUCCCAAAAGGACGACGACCACAACGACUACGAGAGAAGGAAACCGGUUAAUUCGAACUUUUCUUUUGACUACUCUCGUAUUCCGCAAAGUUCAAAUUCACAUUUGCUCUCCAUUCCUCUCGGCAAGCCUCCACACUUUGAUGGGGAGGACUACAGAUUUUGGAGCCACAAAAUGUGUAGUCACCUAUUCUCUCUCCAUCCUAGUAUAUGGGAGAUUGUAGAGAGUGGAAUGCACUUUGAUAGUACGGAUAGUCCCAUGUUCAUUAAUGAGCAAAUUCAUAAGAAUGCACAAGCUACUACUGUUCUUCUAGCUUCAUUGUGCAGGGAUGAAUACCACAAAGUGAGCGGCUUGGAUAACGCCAAGCAGAUCUGGGACACCCUCAAGAUUUCUCAUGAGGGGAACGACGUCACCUUGCUCACCAAAAUGGAGUUGGUGGAGGGCGAGCUUGGACGAUUUGCGAUGAUAAGGGGCGAGGAGCCGACACAAACAUACAACCGGCUCAAGACUCUUAUCAACAAAAUAAGGAGCUACGGAAGCACGCGAUGGACGGACCACGACGUCGUUCGACUGAUGCUAAGGUCCUUUACCGUUCUUGAUCCUCAUUUGGUGAAUAAUAUUCGUGAGAAUUCCAGGUACACCAAAAUGUCGCCCGAAGAAGUCCUUGGAAAAUUUGUAAGCGGGCGAAUGAUGAUCAAGGAGGCGAGGUACGUGGACGACGCUCUAAACGGUCCAAUCAAUGAGCCUCAACCCGUUGCUCUCAAGGCAACAAGGAGCAAGGAGGCGUUACCCAGCAAGGUAGCACAAAUUGAGGCGGCCGGACUUAAUGAUGAAGAGAUGGCCCUCAUCAUCAAAAGAUUCAAGACGGCGCUAAAGGGUCGCAAGGGGCAGCCAAGCAAGACCAAGACAAAGGGGAAGCGCUCAUGCUUCAAAUGUGGUAAGCUUGGUCAUUUUAUUGCUAACUGUCCCGACAAUGAUAGUGAUCAGGAUCAAGGGAACAAGAGGAAGAAGAAGAAGAACUAUAAGAAGGCAAAGGGCGAGGCACAUCUUGGCAAGGAGUGGGACUCCGACAAUGAAGGACUCGCUGCCACCGCCUUCAACAAGUCAUCCCUCUUCCCCAAUGAGCGUCACACAUGCCUUAUGGCAAGGGAGAAGAAGGUAUGUACUCGAAACUCUACUUAUGCUUCUUCAAGUGAGGACGAAUCUAGUGAUGAGGAUGAAAUAGAUUAUUCAUGUUUAUUUAAGGGCCUAGAUAGAACCAAGGUAGAUAAAAUUAAUGAAUUGAUUGAUGCCUUGAAUGAUAAGAAUAGGCUUUUAGAAAAACAAGAGGACGUGUUGUAUGAAGAACAUGACAAAUUUGUAGAAGCACAAAAAUCUCAUGCCUUAGAAGUUAAGAGAAAUGAAAUGCUUUCUUGUGAAUUAUCUUCUUGUCAUGAGACGAUUUCUAGCUUAAGGAGCAUUAAUGAUGAUUUGAAUGCUAAGUUAGAAAUAGCUAGUAAAUCAACAACUUGUGUAGAAAAUGUUGUUAUUUGCAAUAGAUGUAAAGAUUUUGAUAUUGAUGCUUGUAGUGAACACAUAGCUUCUAUUGCAAAGUUAAAUGAUGAAAUGGCUAGUCUUAAUGCCCAACUUAAGGCUAGCAAAAGUGAUUUUGAUAAACUAAAAUUUGCCAGGGAUGCCUACACGAUUGGUAGACACCCCUCCAUUAAGGAUGGGCUUGGCUUCAAGAGGGAAGCCAAGAACUUAACAAGCCAUAAGGCUCCCAUCUCCGCCAAGGAGAAAGGGAAGGCCCCUAUGGCAAGUAGUACUAAAAAGAACCAUGCUUUUAUGUACAAUGAUAGAAGACAGUCUCAUAGGAGUUGUAAUGCUUUUGAUUCACAUGCCUAUGAUUCUUAUGCUAUGUUUGCUUCCAGUUCUUCCUAUAUGCAUGGUAGAGAUAUGCCUAGGAAAAAUAUUCAUCAUGUGCCUAGAAAGAAUAUUGUUCAUGUUCCUAGGAAAGUUAUGAAUGGACCCUCUACAAUUUAUCAUGCUUUAAAUGCUUCCUUUGCUAUUUGUAGAAAGGAUAGGAAGAUAGUUGCUAGGAAAUUAGGGGCAAAAUGCAAGGGUGAUAAAACUUGCAUUUGGGUCCCUAAGACAAUUGUGACUAACCUUGUAGGACCCAACAAGAGUUGGGUACCUAAGACCCAAGCCUAAAUUUGCCUUGCAGGUUUAUGCAUCCGGGGGUUCAAGCUGGAUUAUCGACAGCGGAUGCACGAACCAUAUGACGGGGGAAAAGAAGAUGUUCACCUCCUACGUCAAGAAUAAGGAUUCCCCAGAUUCAAUCAUAUUCGGUGAUGGGAACCAAGGCAAGGUGAAAGGUUUAGGCAAGAUUGCAAUAUCAAAUGAGCACUCUAUCUCUAAUGUGUUUUUAGUUGAGUCUCUUGGAUAUAAUUUACUAUCUGUCAGUCAAUUAUGUAAUAUGGGAUAUAAUUGUCUAUUUACAAAUGUAGAUGUGUCUGUCUUUAGAAGAUGUGAUGGUUCACUAGCUUUUAAGGGUGUACUAGACGACAAACUUUAUUUAGUUGAUUUUGCAAAAGAGGAGGCCGAUCUAGAUACAUGCUUAAUUGCUAAGACUAGCAUGGGCUGGCUGUGGCAUCGCCGCUUAGCACAUGUGGGGAUGAAGAACCUUCACAAGCUUCUAAAGGGAGAACACGUGAUAGGUUUGACUAACGUGCAAUUCGAAAAAGAUAGACCUUGUGCAGCUUGUCAAGCAGGUAAACAAGUGGGAGGAGCACAUCACAGCAAGAAUGUGAUGACCACUUCAAGACCUCUGGAGCUGCUGCAUAUGGACCUCUUCGGACCCGUCGCCUAUCUGAGCAUCGGAGGAAGUAAGUAUGGUCUAGUUAUUGUUGAUGACUUUUCCCGCUUCACUUGGGUGUUCUUUUUGCAGGAUAAGUCUGAAACCCAAGGGACCCUCAAGCGCUUCCUAAGGAGAGCUCAAAAUGAGUUUGAGCUCAAGGUGAAGAAGAUAAGAAGCGACAAUGGGUCCGAGUUCAAGAACCUUCAAGUGGAGGAGUUCCUUGAGGAGGAGGGGAUCAAGCACGAGUUCUCCGCUCCCUACACACCUCAGCAAAAUGGUGUGGUAGAGAGGAAGAACAGGACGCUCAUUGAUAUGGCAAGGACUAUGCUUGGAGAGUUCAAGACCCCCGAGCGUUUUUGGUCGAAAGCCGUGAACACGGCUUGCCACGCCAUCAACAGGGUCUAUCUUCAGCGCCUCCUCAAGAAGACUUCAUAUGAGCUGCUAACUGGUAACAAACCCAAUGUAUCUUAUUUUCGUGUAUUUGGGAGCAAGUGUUAUAUUCUUGUGAAGAAAGGUAGAACCUCUAAAUUUGCUCCCAAAGUUGUAGAAGGGUUUUUAUUAGGUUAUGAUUCAAAUACAAAGGCGUAUAGGGUCUUCAACAAAUCAUCGGGUUUGGUUGAAGUCUCUAGCGACGUUGUAUUUGAUGAGACUAAUGGCUCUCCAAGAGAGCAAGUUGUUGAUCUUGAUGAUGUAGAUGAAGAAGACGGUCCAACGGCCGCGAUACGCACCAUGGCGAUUGGAGAUGUACGGCCUCAGGAACAAUUGGAGCAAGAUCAACCGUCUUCCUCAACUAUGGUGCAUCCCCCAACCCAAGAUGACGAACAUGUACCUCAAGUGGAGGCGCAUGAUCAAGGGGGAGCACAGGAUGUUCAAAUUGAAGAAGAAGAAGCACCUCAGGCACCUCCAACCCAAGUUCGAGCGACGAUCCAAAGGGAUCAUCCCAUCGACCAAAUUUUGGGUGAUAUUAGCAAGGGAGUAACUACUCGUUCAAGAUUAGUUAAUUUUUGUGAGCAUUACUCCUUUGUCUCUUCUAUUGAGCCUUUCAGGGUAGAAGAGGCCUUGCUAGAUCCGGACUGGGUGUUGGCCAUGCAGGAGGAACUCAACAAUUUCAAGCGCAAUGAAGUUUGGACACUGGUGCCUCACCCCAAGCAAAAUGUUGUGGGAACCAAGUGGGUGUUCCGCAACAAACAGGACGAGCACGGGGUGGUGACGAGGAACAAGGCUCGACUUGUGGCAAAAGGUUAUGCCCAAGUCGCAGGUUUGGACUUUGAGGAGACUUUUGCUCCUGUGGCUAGGCUAGAAUCAAUCCGUAUCUUGCUAGCAUAUGCCGCUCACCAUUCUUUCAGGUUGUACCAAAUGGAUGUGAAGAGCGCUUUCCUCAACGGGCCGAUCAAGGAGGAGGUGUACGUGGAGCAACCCCCUGGCUUCGAGGAUGAACGGUACCCCGACCACGUGUGUAAGCUCUCUAAGGCGCUCUAUGGACUUAAGCAAGCCCCAAGAGCAUGGUAUGAAUGCCUUAGAGACUUUUUAAUUGCUAAUGCUUUCAAGGUCGGGAAAGCCGAUCCAACUCUUUUUACUAAGACUUGCGAUGGUGAUCUUUUUGUGUGCCAAAUUUAUGUCGAUGACAUAAUAUUUGGUUCUACUAAUCAAAAGUCUUGUGAAGAGUUUAGCAGGGUGAUGACGCAGAAAUUCGAGAUGUCGAUGAUGGGCGAGUUGAACUACUUCCUUGGGUUCCAAGUGAAGCAACUCAAGGACGGCACUUUCAUCUCCCAAACGAAGUACACGCAAGAUUUUCUAAAGCGGUUUGGGAUGAAGGACGCCAAGCCCGCCAAGACGCCGAUGGGAACCGACGGACACACCGACCUCAACAAAGGAGGUAAGUCCGUUGAUCAAAAAGCAUACCGGUCCAUGAUAGGUUCUUUGCUUUAUUUAUGUGCUAGUAGACUGGAUAUUAUGCUUAGUGUAUGCAUGUGUGCUAGAUUUCAAUCCGAUCCUAAGGAGUGUCACUUAGUGGCUGUGAAGCGAAUUCUUCGAUAUUUAGUCGCUACGCCUUGCUUCGGGAUCUGGUAUCCAAAGGGGUCUAACUUUGACUUGAUUGGGUACUCAGAUUCCGACUAUGCUGGAUGUAAAGUCGAUAGGAAGAGUACAUUGGGGACGUGCCAAUUCUUAGGAAGGUCCCUGGUGUCGUGGAACUCUAAGAAACAAACUUCCGUUGCCUUAUCCACCGCUGAGGCCGAGUACGUUGCCGCAGGACAGUGUUGUGCGCAACUACUUUGGAUGAGGCAAACCCUCCGAGACUUUGGCUACAAUCUGAGCAAAGUCCCACUCCUAUGUGACAAUGAGAGUGCUAUCCGAAUAGCGGAAAAUCCUGUUGAGCACAGCCGCACAAAGCACAUUGACAUCUGGCAUCACUUUUUGAGAGACCACCAGCAAAAGGGAGAUAUCGAAGUGUUUCAUGUUAGCACCGAGAACCAGCUAGCCGAUAUCUUCACUAAGCCUUUAGAUGAAAAGACCUUUUGCAGGCUGCGUAGUGAGCUAAAUGUCCUAGAUUCGCGGAACUUGGAUUGAUUUAUAGCAUACAUGUAUUUAUGCCUUUGAUCAUGUUCCUUAUGCAUUUUGUUGGUUACUUGUGGUGCUCAAGUUGUACAAACACUCCCUGGACCUCACAAGUCCUUUUUGCAAGUGAUGCACAUAUUUAGGGGGAGCUGUGCUACAACUUGACCCUUUGAGACUAACUGUUUGCUUGAGUUUGCUUGAUUUAGUCUCAAAGGAGGUUUGAAAGGGAAAGGUGGACUUGGACCAUGAAAAACUUCCACUGCACUCCGAUGAGAGGGUAACUAAUUCCAAGUUUAUCUCACGUACUCUUAUUGCCUUUGUGUUCUCAUUUGAAGAUUUUGGUGAGGCAAUGGGGUUAAAGGGCCAAGAUUGAUCCCGUUUUGGUGCUUGAUGCCAAAGGGGGAGAAAAUAAAGGUCAAAUCAAUAGAUGGAUCAGCUACCACUUGAGAAAUUUAGAAAAUAGUAGAUUAGAGCUUUUGGUUUGUCAAAAGUUGGCUUCUUGUGGGAGAAGUGUUGAUUAUGGGAAAAAGGGGAGUUUUUGAAAUCUUGAAUCAAUUUCUCUUGGAAUGACUCUCUUUAUGUCUUAACAUGUGUGUUUGACUUAGAGAUAGAAAUUUGAGUUUGAUUUGCAAAAACAAACCAAGUGGUGGCAAAGAGUGAUCCAUAUAUGUCAAAUUUGAAUCAAAACAAUUUUGAGUUCUUAUUUGAAUUGAUUUUGUACUUGUUCUACUUGCUUUAUGUUGUGUUGGCAUAAAUCACCAAAAAGGGGGAGAUUGAAAGGGAAAUGUGCCCUUGGGCCAUUUCUAAGUAUUUUGGUGAUUUAGUGUCCAACACAAGUGCCUAAGUGGAAAAAGGUGGACAAAGUACAAAUCAAGGAUAAAGGUAUGUUUCUCAGACUUAGUACAUUAUUUUAUGGACUAAUGUAUUGUGUCUAAGUACUGGAAACAGGAAAAAUCCAAUUGAAA
rnacentral:lncRNA from 1 species